CCGAGUGGCCUGUGCAGAAGGCCGGGGGUUAGACCGAGCAAAUGGAGCAACGCAAAUGAAUCUCGAAAAAAAAAAAAAAAAAACCCAGCAGAGAAUCACAACCACAGCGGCGUUUCGGGAAUGUAAUUCCUCCUGUCUUUUGUCUUCCUCGUCCCUCCUCAUUUCCUUCAUGUCUUCUCGCCGGAGUGAAGGUCGAGAUCAGGCGAUAUAGUCAUGGACGACGGUGUGAAGCGGCGAGGAAGAUCUGCAGUAAGCAAUCAACUCUACUUAAUGCAAGGAAAGUGGUUUUGACAUCACGCCAGUCUACACCACCGGGACAUCUGAGUCAACGCCUGGCUCUGACAGACGUACACAUGGGUUACACACUCUAUAUGUGACCAGGAUAUUUAAAAAACAUUUUUAAAAAGGCUUGUCCAGAACCAGCACACACCCGGACUGAGCUUUGAUACAGAGCUUUGAUACAGAAAUCACUGGCAGUCAUGUCUCUCUCUACGGUGCUAGCAAAGGCGUUAUAUGAUAAUGCGGCUGAGAGUCCGGAGGAGCUGGCUUUCCGGAAAGGUGAUAUCUUGAUGGUGCUGGAGCAGGAGCAAGAUGGUGGGCCGGGGUGGUGGCUCUGCUCCCUCCACGGGCGCCAAGGCAUCGCCCCUGCUAACCGCUUACGGCUCCUCCAGACAGCACCGGCUGCCCCCCGUGCCCCCAGUGUGGACUCAGUCUAUCUCUCUCCAGUUCAGCAGUGACACGUUAAUGGCUGGACGGAGGGGUUAAUUAAUUAAUAGGGACGGAGUGUAUCUCUCUCCUUCAAGCCUAGCUGAAGGGAUGUAGCAGAGACCUGCAGGGGCAUCAGGAUCUGGUAGUCGUCCACGCUCCCACUCCAGCUCUGGUGCUAGGCCACGGCCAGAAUGGGCAGAUAUAGGAGUUGAAGGACGUCCACGCUCACCGUCCCUUAGAGGACAGACAGGAGAAGUGGAUUCAGUAUAUCAGACUCCUGCCACAACAGCACCACUAGGGGCACCUUACAGAUCGCAGGGUGAUUCAGUGUACCUGUCACCCAGUGC